rnacentral:rRNA from 1 species
AGGACGAACGCUGGCGGCGUGCUUAACACAUGCAAGUCGAGCGGUAAGGCCUUUCGGGGUACACGAGCGGCGAACGGGUGAGUAACACGUGGGUGAUCUGCCCUGCACUUCGGGAUAAGCCUGGGAAACUGGGUCUAAUACCGGAUAUGACCUCCUAUCGCAUGGUGGGUGGUGGAAAGAUUUAUCGGUGCAGGAUGGGCCCGCGGCCUAUCAGCUUGUUGGUGGGGUAAUGGCCUACCAAGGCGACGACGGGUAGCCGACCUGAGAGGGUGACCGGCCACGACUGGGACUGAGACACGGCCCAGACUCCUACGGGAGGCAGCAGUGGGGAAUAUUGCACAAUGGGCGAAAGCCUGAUGCAGCGACGCCGCGUGAGGAUGACGGCCUUCGGUUGUAAACCUCUUUCAGCAGGACGAAGCGCGAAGUGACGGUACCUGCAGAAGAAGCACCGGCUAACUACGUGCCAGCAGCCGC